UACGUAGGGUGCAAGCGUUAAUCGGAAUUACUGGGCGUAAAGCGUGCGCAGGCGGUUUUGUAAGACUGACGUGAAAUCCCCGGGCUCAACCUGGGGAAUGGCGUUGGUGACUGCAAGGCUAGAGUUUGGCAGAGGGGGGUAGAAUUCCACGUGUAGCAGUGAAAUGCGUAGAUAUGUGGAGGAACACCGAUGGCGAAGGCAGCCCCCUGGGUCAAAACUGACGCUCAUGCACGAAAGCGUGGGGAGCAAACAGG
rnacentral:rRNA from 1 species